AUCAACGCUGGCGGCGUGCCUAACACAUGCAAGUCGAACGCGAAAGUCCCGCAAGGGAUCAGUAGAGUGGCAAACGGGUGAGUAACGCGUGGGUGACCUGCCCUUGAGCGGGGGAUAACGUUCCGAAAGGGACGCUAAUACCGCAUAACAUCCUGCUUUUUAAAGGAAGUGGCGAUCAAAGCCUGGGACCGCAAGGCCAGGCACUCGAAGAGGGGCCCGCGUCCAGAUUAGCUAGUUGGUGACGGGGUAAUGGCUCCACCAAGGCUCCGAUCGAUCUGUAUCCGGCCUGAGAGGGCGGCACGGACACACUGGGACUGAGACACGGCCAGACUCCUACGGGAGGCAGCAGUGGGGAAUUGUUCGCAAUGGGCGCAAGCCUGACGACGCAACGCCGCGUGGAGGAUGAAGAUCUUCGGGUCGUAAACUCCUUUCGAUCGAGACGAACGGCCAUCUGGGUGAACAAUCCGGAGGAAUGGUACCGAGAGAAGAAGCCCCGGCUAACUUCCGUGCCAGCAGCCGCGGUAAUACGAGGGGGGGCAAGCGUUGUUCGGAAUUACUGGGCGUAAAGGGCUCGUAGGCGUUGGCCAUCAAGUCAGACGUGUGAAAUCCCUCGGCUAACCGGGGAGGCUGCGCCUGGAAACUGGCAGGGCUAGAGUAUGGGAGAUGGGAAGUGGAAUUCCUGGUGUAGCGGUGAAAUGCGUAGAUAUCAGGGAGGAACACCUGUGGCUGUAGACGGCUUCCUGGGCCAGCAACUGACGCUGAGGACACGAAAGGCUAGGGUAGCAAACAGGAUUAGAUACCCUGGUAGUCCACGCCCUAAACGAUGCAUAUCUUGUGUGUCGGGUCAUCAUCCGGAUCCGUGCCGGAGCUAACGCGUAUAAUAUGCCGCCUGGGGAGUACGGUCGCAAGGCUGAAACUCAAAGGAAUCGACGGGGGCCCGCACAAGCGGUGGAGCAUGUGGUUUCAAUUCGACGCAACGCGAAGAACCUUACCUGGGCUCGAACGGAUAGUGACAGUCUGGUAGGAAAUACGGCUUUCCCUAGCAAGGGCCUCUAGUAGAGGUGCUGCAUGGGCUGUCGUCAGCUCGUGUCGUGAGAUGUUGGGUUAAGUCCCGCAACGAGCGCAACCCUUCGUCCUGUUGUUACCAUGCCGAAGUUGAGGCACUCGGCAGGAGACCGCCAGCGAUAAGCUGGAGGAAGGUGGGGAUGACGUCAAGUCCUCAUGGCCUUUAUGUCCUAGGGCUAGCACACGUGCUACAAUGGCCACGUAACAAACGGACGCCAACGCCGCUAAGGGGGAGCCAAAUCCGAAAAAGCCGGGCCCAGUUCAGAUUGAAGGCUGCAACUCGCCUUCGUGAAGCCUGGAAUCGCUAGUAAUCGCAGGUCAGCAACACUGCGGUGAAUGCGUUCCCGUGAGCCUUGUACACACCGCCCGUCACAGCCACGAAAGUGGGUGGGCACUAGAAGUCGUUGAUCUACCCAAGGGCACCGCCGCAAGGUCGAAUUCACUGAUUGGGGUA
rnacentral:rRNA from 1 species